CCUACGGGAGGCAGCAGUGGGGGAUAUUGCACAAUGGGCGCAACCCUGAUGCAGCAACGCCGCGUGUGGGAAGAAGGUCCUCGGAUUGUAAACCUCUGUUCUUGGUGAAGAUAAUGACGGUAACCAAGGUGAAAGCCCUGGCUCAUACCGUGCAAGCAGCCGUGGUAAUACGGAGGGAGCAAGCGUUGUCCGGAUUUACUGGGUGUAAAGGGUGCGUAGGCGGUCUUGCAAGUCAGACGUGAAAACCAGAGGCUCAACCUGUGGACUGCGUUUGAAACUGUGGGGUUUGAGUUAAGUAGAGGUAGGCGGAAUUCGCGGUGUAGCGGUGAAAUGCGUAGAGAUCGGGAAGAACACCAGUGGCGAAGGCGGCCUGCUGGACUUUAACUGACGCUGAGGCACGAAAGCGUGGGUAGCAAACAGGAUUAGAUACCCGAGUAGUC
rnacentral:rRNA from 1 species